GAUGAACGCUGGCGGCGUGCCUAAUACAUGCAAGUCGAGCGAACAGACGAGGAGCUUGCUCCUCUGACGUUAGCGGCGGACGGGUGAGUAACACGUGGAUAACCUACCUAUAAGACUGGGAUAACUUCGGGAAACCGGAGCUAAUACCGGAUAAUAUAUUGAACCGCAUGGUUCAAUAGUGAAAGACGGUUUUGCUGUCACUUAUAGAUGGAUCCGCGCCGCAUUAGCUAGUUGGUAAGGUAACGGCUUACCAAGGCAACGAUGCGUAGCCGACGGGAGAGGGUGAUAGGCCACCCUGGAACUGAGACAGGGUCCAGACUCCUACGGGAGGCAGCAGUAGGGAAUCUUCCGCAAUGGGCGAAAGCCUGACGGAGCAACGCCGCGUGAGUGAUGAAGGUCUUCGGAUCGUAAAACUCUGUUAUUAGGGAAGAACAAAUGUGUAAGUAACUAUGCACGUCUUGACGGUACCUAAUCAGAAAGCCACGGCUAACUACGUG
rnacentral:rRNA from 1 species